UCAAUUGCACUGCAUGGACCCUUUAAGGCUUAUUAUCAAACAAAAUUGAACUUUAAUCCAAGCACAUAUGCAUAUGUACAUGAGACAAAUUACACAUUCCAUGACAUACAUGUACACAUGCUGCACACCUCUCAAGCCAAAGGGGUACAUGCCUUCACCGACAGCUGGAGUUUGAUACCCCAAUGUCACCCUGAUGUUGGGCUGUUCCAAGGAUCAGGCACCUACCGACCUAUCUGUGUUGAGUUCCAGUUCACUGGAGCAGACAAAUAAUGUUUGGAGUGAAAACAGGCUCAUAUCUCUGCUGCAUUCAAGGUAGUGGUGUUCAUGGCAAAUCCUGCUGCAGAAUCCUUUAGCGGCCACAGCCCCUGCAGUGCAAGCACAGUAAGACUGCAAGCACAGUAAGACUGCCUUCCACCUUCACCUCAUUCAGAAAAAAGCACAGCUUCAUGCAACAUUGAGCAUCAAGUCUUCAUGCAGCAAGUAGAGCAUAUUGAACUCCGCCAAUCAGUACAGAUGUUUGUCAUAUUCAUCAUCUUGUAUUAUGCAUCCAUUUGCCAGCUACUGUAGCUUUGAGGUACAUGUACAUUGGACACUUCACUCGUAACCCAGAGUUACAUGUAGGGACCCUUACCAGGUACUACCAACCGGGUCAGUUGGACCUGGGGCAUGCCGUUGACAGGGACGACCACUCACUGAAGAAGCCAGGAGCUUCCCUGCUACCAAAGUCAAUUCUUUCUCUAGUCCUCUGCCCAAAUAUCCAAUGUACAUAUGCAUCAUCACAUCACCAAUCUUCUAGUGCAUUGCCUUAAAGCCAGUUACGAUGAUUGAUUUGCUAUUUAAUCCAACUUCUUUAAUAGCAUUAUUUAAGAAGCAAUUGAGUUUUGUCUACCACUAACAGCUUUGACUCUGAAGUGCAAAA